rnacentral:rRNA from 1 species
GAUGAACGCUGGCGGCGUGCCUAAUACAUGAAAGUCGAGCGAAGGGGGGACGGGUGAGUCAAACAUGGAUAACCUCCUAUAAGACUGGGAUAACUUCGGGAAACCGGAGCUAGACCGGAUAAUUAUAGAUGGAUCCGCGCUGCAUUAGCUAGUGUGUAAGGGAACGGCUGACCAAGGCAACUAUGCAUAGCCGACAUGAGAGUGUGAUAGGCCACACUGGAACUGUGGCACGGUCCAGCCGCCUACGGGAGGUAGCAGUAGGGAAUCUUCCGCGAUGGGCGAAAGCCUGACGGAGCAACGCCGCGUGAGUUAUGAAGGUCUGAGGAGCGGAAAACUCUGUUAUUAUGGAAGCGGUACCUAAUCAGAAAGCCACGGCUAACUACGUGCCAGCCGCCGCGGUAAUAC